GAUGAACGCUAGCGGCAGGCCUAACACAUGCAAGUCGAGGGGCAGCACAGGUAGCAAUACUGGGUGGCGACCGGCGGAUGGGUGCGUAACGCGUAUGCAACCUACCAUUGAUUGGGGCAUAGCCCCGAAGAAAUUCGGAUUAAUACUCCAUAAUAUUCAUCAAAGGCAUCUUUUAUGAAUUAAAGCUUUUGCGAUCAAUGAUGGGCAUGCGUGACAUUAGUUAGUUGGUGAGGUAACGGCUCACCAAAACGAUGAUGUCUAGGGGUUCUGAGAGGAUUAUCCCCCACACUGGUACUGAGACACGGACCAGACUCCUACGGGAGGCAGCAGUGAGGAAUAUUGGUCAAUGGACGCAAGUCUGAACCAGCCAUGCCGCGUGCAGGAUGACGGCCCUAUGGGUUGUAAACUGCUUUUCCACGGAAGAACCCUCCGACGUGUCGGAGACUGACGGUACCGUGGGAAUAAGCAUACGGCUAACUCCGUGCC
rnacentral:rRNA from 1 species